CAAUAGGAAUAUCUAGUUGGGUCAACAAAUACAACUAAUGUUUCAUGAAUAUUCAUUUGGACAUCACUAAUCUCAAAUGCUAG